rnacentral:siRNA from 1 species
GUAUGAUGUUGUCUGCGUAAUAGU